CCUCUGCCCAGCAGAACGACCCGCGAACCAGUCCCUCGGCCCAUGCUGCGGCGGCGCGGGGCGCUAGCCCCUCGCCCCCCGGCGAGCCGUGGGGGGGCGGCCCUUGCGGCGCCCCUCCUCGGCUCACGAACAAAACCCCCGGCGCUGGACGCGCCAAGGACCCAAGGAAACAAAAGGGGGCGCCCCCUCGGACCGGGAACGGCGCGUGGGGCGCUUCCUCUUUCGCUGCGAGCGAAACGAA
rnacentral:rRNA from 1 species